AUUGAACGCUGGCGGCGUGCUUAACACAUGCAAGUCGAGCGGUAACAGGCGUAGCAAUACGUGCUGACGAGCGGCGAACGGGUGCGUAAUACAUGGGAAUCUGCCCUUUGGUGGGGAAUAACCCGGCGAAAGCCGGGCUAAUGCCGCAUAAGAUCUUCGGAUGAAAGCGGGGGAUCGUAAGACCUCGCGCCGAUGGAUGAGCCCAUGUCGGAUUAGCUAGUUGGUGAGGUAACGGCUCACCAAUGCGACGAUCCGUAGCUGGUCUGAGAGGACGGCCAGCCACACUGGGACUGAGACACGGCCCAGACUCCUACGGGAGGCAGCAGUGGGGAAUAUUGGACAAUGGGGGAAACCCUGAUCCAGCGACGCCGCGUGUGUGAAGAAGGCCUGCGGGUUGUAAAGCACUUUCGAUGGGAACGAAAUGUGCCGGGCUAAUACCCCGGCAAGCUGACGUUACUCAAUGAAGAAGCACCGGCUAACUCUGUGCCAGCCGCCGCCGUAA
rnacentral:rRNA from 1 species